UGUCCAUUCUAUUCAUGAAUAGCGGGAACGAUUCAAACAAUGACAUAGGAUUUUUAUUAUCUACUAACAAUAAUCUCAAGGAAUCGCAGCUUAAGAAUGGUGCCACUGCCUUAACAACUUCCAUGGAAUUAUGCGAGGCUAAAGAUUUUCAUUCCACCGAUAGUAUACUGUUUCAUGAAAAAAAUUUGGAGAAUAACAACAUGCUUCGAAUGUUUAAAGAAGGAAACAUAGUUGUACUACAAAAUAUAGGCUCCCCCAACACAAACCUUGCAUCUGUUUCGCUCGAAAAAGUGGGAGCAAAUGCCAGAAAAAGGGAUAUCGAAGGCAAUUCUAGUAUCCAAAACAACACGACGUUAAUAUCCUCUCUUUAUAAUAAUAAUACGCUAGAAGGAGAGGAACUGAUAAUGAGUAAUAAUAACAAAAAACAGAAUCUCAGGGACUUACUAGAAGACGAGCAUUUGGAAGAAGGGGCUGCUAGCAAAAAAAUAAUGAUAGAAAAAUGCAACUCAGAAAUUUUGAAUUACAUGGAAAACAAUAUAAUUUUAGACAAUAAUCAUACUCAAGACGACAAACAAAAUAAUAAUCAAACAAUGGCCAUGUUACAACAACCCUACGAAAAGGUUUCACCUUACAUUCAGGACCGUUAUCCACUCAACGGGUUAAACAAAGUAUGCGUCCCUCUGUUAGGCGUGGAAGCGAUCGAAAGAGAGAUUUGGCUUAACAAUGUAACAAAGGUAGAAAAAGAAACAAUUAACUUCAUUGUGGCCACAACAUCGUUACCCACCUUAGCCUCUAGUGGCUGUAAAACGCUAAUUCAGCGUAUUUCGGAGAUAGAUAUGUCUCUCAUAAAUAAACCUUCCCAUCUGCUAGAUGAUAAUAAUAAUCACGGGCCUUCUAUCCUGAAUUUGCAGAGUGGCGAAAAAUUGAAACUGUUCAUCGGACAAAUACCGAGAAACAUGGAAGAAACUGAUUUGAGACCUAUGUUUGAACAAUUUGGAACUAUCUAUGAGUUGAGCGUUUUGAAAGACAAAUAUUCAGGGAUUCAUAAAGGUUGCGCUUUCCUGACUUACUAUUGCAACGAAUCAGCAUUUAAAGCACAGGAAGCUCUACAUGAACAAAAAACAUUACCAGGGAUGAGUAGACCAAUCCAAGUCAAACCAGCUGACAACGAAAACAAAAAUCAAGAAAGGAAGCUGUUCGUUGGAAUGUUAGGGAAGCAUCAAACAGAAGACGAUGUGAGACAAAUGUUUGAUUCUUAUGGGACAAUCGAAGAAUGCACUAUAUUACGAGGAACGGACGGUGUCAGUAGAGGUUGUGCGUUUGUAAAAUUUCGAAAUCAAUCUGAAGCCCAAACUGCAAUAACUGCAUUGCAUGGAAGCAAGACGAUGCCUGGAGCGUCCUCAAGCUUGGUAGUCAAAUUCGCGGAUAAUGAAAAAGAGCGUCAGCUGCGCCGGAUGCAGCAGUUAACAGCUGCCGCUGCAGCAGCCGCUGCUGCAGCCGCAGCUUCGACAGGCUUGGGAAUAAACUUACUUACACCCACCCAUAAUAACAGCCAACAACUGCACAUCAAUCAUUUGAAUCAAAUCAAUCAGUUGAACCAAUUGAAUCAGUUAAGUCAAUUAAACCAACUUAAUCAACUGAGUCAACUUACAACACAACAGCAGCAUGGAAAUGUUGUCGCUGCUAACGCUCUUACUGCUAAUGCAAAUGCUAACUCUAAUGUCAAUACAGCUGCCGUGGUGGCAGCUGCCUUACUUGGAGCAGGGAAUGGAACAUUGAAUGCAGCUAAUAUGCAAGGAACACCGAUAGCUUGUCCAACGUAUGCAUCUAAUGGCAGUACUUAUGCUCAGUUACUACAUCAGCAUCAAGCAGCUGCUUUCGCUGGGUAUUUGCAACCCCUCUCCGGGCAUAUUCAUCAUCAACACAUAUUAGCAAGCCCAAAUGAUUUAAAUGGAAGUGGUAGUCAUACUGCAACAUUAGCUGCAUUAGGAGCGGUAAAUACUACCCCUCCUUCAGCCUAUGGGACAUUAUCCGGGGCCCAAGUCAUAGGAGGACCCCAUAAUCACCAGCAAUUACUUCUAGCAUUGGCAGCCCAGCAACAACAUCAAGGACAUAUAAUAUCGAGUUCUGGGAUUAACAAUGUAGGAUUAGCUUUGGGCGGAAGUAUAAACCAUUCGCAGCAUGGCAGCUUAACUACUACCGUUUCCGGCUCACACAACAGUACAAUUAGUAAUUCAAGUACUAGCUCUUCAUCGAUUACAAAUAGUAACGAAAUUUCUACGGCUAGUCAAAUCACUUGCGUAGGAGUACACAGCCAUUAUAGUAGUAGUAAUAAUGCGGUUAAUACCGGGAGUUUUGUACUAGCCUCACCUCAUCACCAACACACCCUAAAUUUGCAACAUCAUCAUCACACCCAACAGCAACAAAUGGCAUUUUUAGAACAACUGUAUUCCUCAAACGCGGCCCUGGCGACUAUUGCAGCUGCACAGCCUAGUCUCUUGGGCCAUCAUUAUCAAGGGAGCGCAUAUUCAAUUGAUCCUUUAUUACAAAGCCCGACAGCGGCAACGCUACAAAGUGUUCAAGCUUUGCAGGCAUACGCUUAUCCUGCUACCGCUAUAUAUGGAACGUUCAAUCAAGCUUUGACUGCUCACCAAUUGGCUUCUACCCCGAUUUUUACAACUCAACAACAACGCGAAGGGCCUGAAGGUUGCAAUCUAUUUAUUUAUCAUCUUCCACAAGAGUUCGGAGAUAGUGAACUGAUGCAAAUGUUUAUACCUUUUGGAACUGUAAUUAGUGCUAAAGUUUUCGUUGAUAAAGCCACAAAUCAGAGCAAAUGUUUUGGGUUUGUGAGUUAUGACAAUCCAAACAGUGCACAGGCUGCCAUUCAAUCCAUGAACGGGUUUCAAAUAGGCAUGAAAAGGCUAAAAGUACAAUUAAAACGCCCAAAGGAUGCGAAUAAACCAUAUUGACUAGUUAAGCGAACCCAUUAAAGUGUUUAAAGAUACCUUUCCCCUCGCGCAUUAAAUUUAAUCAGAAAAUGAUUAGAAAUAAUAAGAAUCUUGAAUCACGAGUCGAAAGAAAGACAGAUAAUCUAUAUCUGAUUUUGAAGAUAAAAAUCAAUUCGUUGAAGUAAAAGGGUCGACGUUCUCUAUGAAUACAGUUUGGAUCAACGAUCUUACAACAUGAUUUAUCAUAUAAAAAUUCAAGGACUUCGCCUAAAUUCCUGAAAGAAAAAUAUUAUAAAUUAUUCCAAAUUAAUAUCACCAUUCCAAUUUACAUCGAGUCACAAUUAUUACGAACUUAUUUAUAAUUUUUUUUAAAAUUAAAGUGCAAUAAAAAUGAAUAUUUUUUUUUAACUUUUCAAUUUUUGCAAAAUAUGACCGCGUUAAAAAGAGAACCAUCCUUACAAUGGCUUGUUUUAUAAUCUUUAGCUAUUUUUGUUUUUAGAUUUUUUCCUCCACUGAAUUAAAAAAAAAUGAUUUGUGAAAUAUGCACAUCUAUAUAUAUUUUCUUAUCUUAUAUAUUGAAUUAUACAAUAAUGGUAUUUGGGACAUAGUGGCAUUAUUUUUAAACUUCUUGAAGAAUUUUUUUUAAAUUUAUAUAAUAUACUUUUUAAUUUAAUAACCCUUUGUUUUUAUGAAAAAUGAAAUCAAAUUCAUUUUUUUUGAGAAAGUGCUUUUCCUGCUCAUGAACAGUAAACGCUAAUCGUACAAUACAAAGGAUCAAUAUGACCUGAACGACUAUGUAGCUUAUAGAACCAAUGAAAACAUUAUGAUAGUAAAUUUAAUUUAUAAACAGACAUAAUAUAAUGAUUAAAUUAAGGUUCUUCUUUUUUUUAAUAAAAAACAUAUUUUUUAAAUAUUAUAAUAUUUCGCCUAUUGAUUAUAAUUUAAUAUAUAUUUUUUUGAAGAAAUAUAAAAUGGGAGAGUGUAGAUCUCUAGUCCCAUAAGACUCAUUU